AUUGAACGCUGGCGGCAGGCCUAACACAUGCAAGUCGAACGGUAACAGAAAGCAGCUUGCUGCUUUGCUGACGAGUGGCGGACGGGUUAGUAAUGUCUGGGCAACUGCCUGAUGGAGGGGGAUAACUACUGGAAACGGUAGCUACUACCGCAUAACGUCGCAAGACCAAAGAGGGGGACCUUCGGGCCUCUUGCCAUCGGAUGUGCCCAGAUGGGAUUAGCUAGUAGGUGGGGUAACGGCUCACCUAGGCGACGAUCCCUAGCUGGUCUGAGAGGAUGAACAGCCACACUGGAACUGAGACACGGUCCAGACUCCUACGGGAGGCAGCAGUGGGGAAUAUUGCACAAUGGGCGCAAGCCUGAUGCAGCCAUGCCGCGUGUAUGAAGAAGGCCUUCGGGUUGUAAAGUACUUUCAGCGGGGAGGAAGGGAGUAAAGUUAAUACCUUUGCUCAUUGACGUUACCCGCAGAAGAAGCACCGGCUAACUCCGUG
rnacentral:rRNA from 1 species